CUUCCCUCAAACAGAGAUCAGUUUCACAUCCACUACAAUUGCACGUUUGAAUCAAAAAAAUCAGUUGACCUCCUCAGCCUAAAUCUCAUCCUUUUCUCCCAUACGCUCAAAACGAAAAGUGGUGUGGCGAGGUUUUGCCGGGCGAAGUCAGGGUUCUGGAGUGACAAAGUGAAGUUGCUGGUCGCGGCGGAGGAAGGAUUUACUCUGGUUCUUGGCAGUGGGAAGGACUUGAGGAGUUUAAGAGAGAUGAGUUAGUGAAGGUUGAUGGAGAGGGGCAGUGUGUUAUGAAAGAUCAUGGGUAUUUUGGUACGUUUAGCCUUAGCUCCAUGCUUUAAAUUCGAGUCCUGUGAUUUCAUUUGUUGGAGAAAGUUUAAAGCUUUAUAUUGCCAAUGGUUGCAUAGUUCUCUUCAAUUUGUAUGGUUGUGAUGAUACAGAAAUAAUGAGUUUACGUUCAAAUUUUCCAAGACUUUAGAGAAAAGGUGGCAGUCUCUCCUCCGUCAAGGGAGGAGUUAUUUGUUGUUGGGGAUCUUAUGCGCAACCAGAUUUGAGAACCAAUAAGAUGCAUGCUUGAUCUGUAUGGAGUGGAGUUGGGUUAUCUGCGCAUGUAAUUUUAUGCAGAGUUUCAUAAGUGGGGUUCAGUACCUAAUAUAUCCUCAAAUUCCUAAUACAAGCGAUCAGACUAAUUAAUUAUUUAAUUUAUUGAUUUUUUUUUUUGAAUUUUUCAUUGCAUAAAUAAACUUAGGGUUUCUGAAUUUCGGAUGUGUUUUUUGAAACAGUGUUGCAAUUUGGCUGCACAGAGGGACAAUAAUAAUUUUUUCUUGACAUGAUUAUGAAAUGCCCAGGCGAGAAAGGCACUCAUCGACUCAUAUUCCUUAAAGGUGGAGCAUGAAAAUGGCUGUAGAAGAAUUAAAACCUUCAACAACUCCUCACAUCAUACAUAUUCGGAAUAAAGUCCAACAAAUUAGAUCACAAGGGCAGACAAUACCAAAUGUGUGUAUUUAUCUACCAGAUCACGUAUUCAGUCAUGGACAAUUGUACGUGGCUUUAUCAAGAGGAGUAUCAGCGUCUACAACAAAAGUCUUGGUAAAGAAAGGAGAAUUACACGGUCAUGAAGGAGUCUUCACAAAGAAUGUUGUGUACAAAGAUAUUUUGCUUCCCUCGAAUUCAACAUAAGGACGGCGAUAUGAGUUCAUGAUAUGAAGAACCGUCAAGUGUAUCAAGGCCAAUUGAAGUUCUUGGAUUGUUUUUAUACUUUUUACUUAGCUUUUAGUUGCAGCUAAAUUAUAAGGAUCUUCUAUGUUAUUUAUUACUUUUUUUUUUUUUACAAAUUCUAGAUAAAUACUUUAAAUUACUACCUGUAUUAUUAGAGAUGAUAAUCGUCUUUAUUUUAUGUUUC